UUUAUAUGAGAGUUUGAUCCUGGCUCAGGAUGAACGCUGGCGGCGUGCCUAAUACAUGCAAGUCGA
rnacentral:rRNA from 11 species